GGCAAUAUAUUAACAGAAAUUACGCAUGUAAGAAAAAAUAUACAAUAUUCGUUUUCUUGAAAGGUCUCCACUCCAUAAGGCAGAUUCAGGAUACAGAGUUUUGAGAUGCGCAGAUAUGCAAACGCUUACUGACUGACUAUACACAUAUAAACUUCGGCCUGAAAAGUGCAGAUUGCAUAAGAUACAGUACGGUACAGUGCUGUACAGUACAGUGGAGGACCAACCUGACCCAGUGGCGGUAGAGCUGCACCGGUUUCCUGUAACCAUCGUCUUCUGGCGGAGGCGGCGGUGCUUUGAUUUCUUCUACCUCUUCCGGAGCAGCCUCCUCGUUGGCCGGAGUGCCAGCCACGACGCUAUCAGCCUUGUGAUCGGAUGCCACACUCGGUGCUUUUGAGGGUGGGGCCGGAGUGCCCGCCUGGGUGGAUGCCGCCUUCUCCUCCUCGCCGCCGUCGUCGAAACCCCAUGGAUCUUCUUCGUCUGCCAUAUUACUGAAACGGAAUCCUUUCAAUAUUAUUAUAUAUCUAUCAUAGACAGAUUCACUUUCAAUAUUCGAUCUCUAGGUAACGUAAGCCAUCAUCAUAUUAUUAUAUCAC
rnacentral:lncRNA from 1 species